CAAUAGCGUAUAUUAAAGUUGUUGCAGUUAAAAAGCUCGUAGUUGGAUUUGUGGCGUACGGUGUGCUCCGGGCACUUGUUGUCUGAGUAACCUGCUGUUGCCAUCCUUGGGUGGAACCUGUGUGGCAUUAGGUUGUCGUGCAGGGGAUGCCCAUCAUUUACUGUGAAAAAAUUAGAGUGUUCAAAGCAGGCUUAUGCCGUUGAAUAUAUUAGCAUGGAAUAAUGAGAUAGGACUUUUUUGCUAUUUUGUUGGUUUGCGCAAGAAGGUAAUGAUUAAUAGGGACAGUUGGGGGUAUUCGUAUUCCAUUGUCAGAGGUGAAAUUCUUGGAUUUUUGGAAGACGAACUACUGCGAAAGCAUUUACCAAGGAUGUUUUCAUUAA
rnacentral:rRNA from 1 species